rnacentral:rRNA from 1 species
GAUAAACGCUGGCGGCGUGCCUAAUGCAUGCAAGUCGAACGGUCUAGUUUCUUCGGAAGCUAGGUAGUGGCAAACGGGUGAGUAACACGUGGGGAUCUGCCCAGUAGUGGGGAACGAACUCCGAGAAAUACGGAGCUAAUACCGCAUACGGUAGGUGUUGAGGAACACCAUACUAAAGCGAGCAAUCGCGCUAUUGGAGGAACCUGCGGCUGAUUAGCUAGUUGGUGGGAAGCCGU